GAACCCAAUCCCAUUUUUAUCGCCAUCCAUUCCCAUAAACAAAAUCGAUUUUCACAUGUAUCGCCAUCCCUAAUAUGCAUAUCCCUAAACCCAAUCCCAUUUUUAUCACCAUCCAUAUCCCAUAAACCCAAUUCGAUUUCAUCGGUUCCAACAGAUUCUGAGAUAGAUUUUGAUGAAAAGAGAUUUCGAUUUCUAUCUUAUCCCUAAACCCAAUUCGAUUUUCUCGCCAUCUCUAAUCUCUCCUAUCCGUAAAACCGAUUGAUAUUUAUAAGGAUGAGAACUGGAGUCGGAUGAUAAGAGAUUUUGAUUUCUGUUGACUCUGUUUGCAGUUCGAGAAUUUGCUACUAUCAGUAUACGGAUUUUGAGUUCAAGAAUUUGCUACUUUGUUACUAUUGGUAGCUGAUUUUGAGGUCUUCAUCUUUUUUUAUAAGGUCGAGAUUUUGCUUGAUCAGAGACUUGAGGCUGAUCUUCUAGCUUCGACAACGGCUAAAUUCUCUAAUAAAAUUCAAGAAUUUGCUGGUUUGCUACUAUUGGUGGUUGAUUUGGACUCACAGUUGAAGGAAGCAAUUAUUCAGAAUAGCAGGAAUUUCCAACCAAAAUAUCAAAUUGGUUAGGAACUAAAACAGCAUCCAAAUAGAAGAUUUCAAGAAUUUGCUGGUUUGCUACUAUUGGUGGCUGAUUUCGACUCACAGUU